AAUUUGUACCUGUUGACCCCCUUCACCUCUUUCACUCACUCCCACCUCCUGCCCUUGGCAACCACCAAGAUGAUGCGAGAAGGAAAUGGGGCAGUGGCCAUUAGGACAGUGCCUGGCACUCACCCCGGUGCCAGCAAUGAGAGAUGCCAUUGUUAGGAUGACUCCAGCCUUGGGGAACAGAUAAGGGAACUGAUUUACUCCUUUCUCUUGCCUACUUGGCUCCAUUUCAUUGGAAGGCAACAGCUGAAGGGCAAGUGACUGAAACAGGAGUAAAGAGAUGUUUGGUCAGCACUUGCUCCAUGGUGGGGGCUAGUGGGAGGACAGGGAAGUCUGAGACGAUCCUGCUCUUAGGGAGUCGACCGCAGGGUGGAGAAGUCAAGACGGAGCCCCAGGGAACCAGGGGACAAGAGGGUCUACUGAACCUGUCAGCUGCAGCCUUGGCCACUCAAGGCACUGGGACCAAAUGAACAACACAGACAGGACCCCUGCCUUCACAGGAGCAGACCACACACAUGGAAACGAGUCAGUAAGCAGGCGAUUCUGAAAGAUGGGGUGACACAUGGAGCAUCUUCUCUGAGGAGACCACUGGGCUGCUGUGACCCGAUGAUGAAAAGCCUGUGAAGAUCUGGAGGAAGAAGUUUGUGGCAGAGGGAGCAGCAAGUUCAAGGACCUGUGCUCAGUUGGGGAAUAGACACAUUUUUUUUUUUAUGAAAAAAAAUUCUAAUUAUUUAUUUAUUUAUUUAGAGAGGGGGGAGAGAGUGCGCGAGCAGGCGAGGGGCAGAGAGAGAGAGGGAGAGAGAGAAUCGCAAGCAGGUUCUGCGCUGUCGGCCCGGAGCCCGACGCAGGGGUGGAUCCCUCGAACUGUGAGAUCAUAACUGAGCCAAGAUCAAGAGUCGGCCGCCCAAUUGACUGAGCCACCCAGGCACGCCGGAAUAGACACAUUUUAUAGCAGAAAGUCUCAACCGCCUUACCCAAAGCUGCCAUUUUGUGGACAAGCAGGCCGGGGCCAGAGGAGCUAGUAGGUAGACGAUUCCUCUCCCCCCUGGGCCAGGCAAGUCUGCAACCCCCCCUCCAGCUUCAGCACACCCACCCUGGAGGCAUAGAACACGGUCCUGGGAGGAUCCUCUCUGGCUGGGUCCUCUCCCUCCUCUGUCUCAGCUGGAAAAUGCGUGCAGACGCGGGUAGGUGAGGGCAGCGUUUCGAGAGACCCUGGAGCCCUUUCUCCUUGUCUGUCCGUGGGGCACCUUAACAAUCACCAGCUGAAAAAACAAACUUGGGGGCAGCUCACCUCACAGCAGGUGCAGAGAUGCCAAGGCUGUGAGGGUCACAUGGGCCCCGAUUCUCCUCUCAGGGUGAGACAAGCAAGCGUGACCUGGAAGAAUAAAAGCAUUUGUGGUUCUGAUUGCCCCGUGUCC
rnacentral:lncRNA from 1 species